rnacentral:rRNA from 1 species
UACGUAGGGCGCAAGCGUUGUCCGGAAUUAUUGGGCGUAAAGAGCUCGUAGGCGGUUUGUCGCGUCUGCCGUGAAAUCCCGAGGCUUAACCUCGGGUCUGCCGUGGAUACGGGCAGACUAGAGGUAGGUAGGGGAGAAUGGAAUUCCCGGUGUAGCGGUGAAAUGCGCAGAUAUCGGGAGGAACACCGGUGGCGAAGGCGGCAUCCUGGACCGAUACUGACGCUGAGGAGCGAAAGCCAGGGGAGCAAACGGG